AUUUGAAUACAGGGGUGCUGGAUCCAAUCCGGCUGAGAUAAAAACUAGUGGUUUUUGACCCUCGAACCUGAUAUGGAUAAUGCCAGCGCAGGAAGUUGUAAUCUUUACGUG
rnacentral:ncRNA from 1 species